AUGGCAGAGAAGUUCCUCCUUCACAUUCUGCAAAAACUUCCAUUUGGCCGAUGUGGAUUCUUUGCUGGGCCGAUUCUGGGCCCCGGGCCUUAUGUUUGACACUCCUGCACUCAACCGUUUACAGGCUCUGGUUGUUUGAGGCUGUUUGAGGCUCAGUUAUAGACGAUGAUGCUUGAAUUCAAACAGGCAGACAACAUGAAAGAUGAGGAAAUCCCUGAGCACUGUGCAGAGGACUCUGAGGAUCCUCAGCCGUCACUGUGACACGUGGCUAUCCAGCAGAGAAGAAGCUCAUCCCAGUUCACUGACAGAGACAAAGUUUUGGUGCUGUGAUAACGACUCUGAGCCGAUGACUCACUCUGAUAACUCUGAUAACAUCUCCCUCCAAGUAAUAACCUCCCAGCAGCAACUGCCACAGGCAAAUGGGCAUGAGGCAGGAUAGUUUCACUUCCUGCAGUUACAGUGAAACAGUCUUUGUAAUUCACAUCUGUGUGACUCGUUUAAGUUUUUUGUCCUGACAGUGAAACUCUUACAGAUACACAUGUGAUGCUGCUGCACAUGUUAGUAAAUCUGUCUCUAAAUCUUCUUUAAAAUUUCAGCCUUUGUAGUGAACACAUGUUUCUCAAACACCAGGGUCAGAACACACUGUGGAAAAGUAAGAUGCACAUUUUGUAGUCCAUCUUCUGGUCAUUGUCGUUUUUACCCUGUGGAUAUCCAGCAUCACGUUGUUAAUGAGAGAGAGUGUAAGCUCAUUCUCAGCACACGGCUCUGUUACUUUCCUAACUCCUUAUCAGUUCCCCUAGCAACCUUUCCUUCACUGGACUUUCGGACUGUUUAUUAAAAAAGGUUGAAGGUUUGAUUAUAGCUGUUCAAACUGAUUUCCUGUUCCUUGUAUAUUUGUCACACUUACAUGUUUCAGAUCAGGAACAUGUAGGUUUGGAUUUGUUCCCUUAAUAACAAACUCCUCCAUUUACAAACUUCAGUUUGUAUUUUCUUUGUCUAAUAUUUUAAUGUGUUUGAUCUGAAACAUUUAAGUGUGACAAACAUACAAAAACCAGGAAACCAGGAAGUAAACAAACACUGUUUCACCUCUGUAUGUGUUUGUUUCCAUCUUAUGUUCUAUUAUGUUGUUUGUUUGAAACUUGUGAUCAGUAUUUUAAAGCUGUUAAACUGAAAUCAAACACAUAAACUACAAACUGGUCAGACAUUAGAAAGGAAUUGUUCCUCUGAGUAUUUAAACCUGCUGUUGUGUUGCUUUUGUGCGCUGGUGUCACUGAUGGCUGCUGCUGCUGUGACAACAGACACACAAAUAGUUUGAUGUCAUCAGAUAUCACUCUGGAUACACUGAGAGAAAAGCUGAUUUACUUUAACACUCCAACACUGUUAUUAUGUCCUACAGUCUGAGUGUGUAACAGCACUGCCCCCGUGUGGUCAAACUGGGGCAUUGCACAUGAUAAUUCUAAUCCACCAACAUUUUUAGACCUCCACACACAUCUGACCCUGAUUCAGUGGAGACUUUAGAAACUUCCAUGUUUCUAUAGAAACUUCAGUGUUUCCAAAGUCUAUUUCCUUUCUUAUGAUAAUUUUAAUUACUAUUAUUUGUUUUUGUUAUUUUAUGUGUCAUAAUCUUUUAUUUUGUAGUUGUUUCAAAAUGUUUUUUCUUUGUAUCUGUACUUUGUAAACUAAUGAGGGAUCAAAAAUGCUGUAAAAAUGAAUAAAAAGCUCAAACAUAGACCCUCCUGUAUGUACUCAGGUCUGUAAA